GGAUUAUAGAAGGCCGGGAUGGAGACAGGAUACCAAGUUCUCAUGAAAACAAUAUCUACAAGAGGAGGUUUCAGAAGAAGCAGCCAUCUGCAAGAGAAGAAGCCUAUUUCUGACCUGAGCCCUCUUCACUUGAAUUGCCUUGGCCUGAAAAUAAUCUAAGAACCUAAAACAUGUUGAAACCUGAACAGAGUUCUUUACCUGUCCCAUAAAUCAGCUUUCGAAGAUUUGGAG